rnacentral:rRNA from 1 species
AGAGUUUGAUCAUGGCUCAGGAUUAACGCUGGCGGCGUGCCUAAUACAUGCAAGUCGAAUGGUAGCAAUACCAUGGCGAACGGGUGAGUAACACGUAGGUAACCUGUCUCUAAGCCGAGGAUAACCAUUGGAAACGAUGGAUAAUACUGGAUAGGACAUUUGAAGGCAUCUUUAGAUGUUUAAAGAUUUAUCACUUAGAGAGGGGCCUGCGGCGCAUUAGCUAGUUGGUGAGGUGAAGGCUUACCAAGGCGAUGAUGCGUAGCCGGACUGAGAGGUUGAACGGCCACAAUGGAACUGAGAACGGUCCAUACUCCUACGGGAGGCAGCAGUAGGGAAUUUUCGGCAAUGGGCGGAAGCCUGACCGAAGCAACGCCGCGUGAACGAAGAAGUAUUUCGGUAUGUAAAGUUCUUUUAUUAGGGACGAAAAGACAGAUUGACGGUACCUAAUGAAUAAGCUCCGGCUAACUACGUGCCAGCAGCUGC